rnacentral:rRNA from 1 species
GAUGCGGUCUAUAAUGCAGUCGAACGCUUCUUUUUCCACCGGAGCUUGCUCCACCGGAAAAAGAGGAGUGGCGAACGGGUGAGUAACACGUGGGUAACCUGCCCAUCAGAAGGGGAUAACACUUGGAAACAGGUGCUAAUACCGUAUAACAAUCGAAACCGCAUGGUUUUGAUUUGAAAGGCGCUUUCGGGUGUCGCUGAUGGAUGGACCCGCGGUGCAUUAGCUAGUUGGUGAGGUAACGGCUCACCAAGGCCACGAUGCAUAGCCGACCUGAGAGGGUGAUCGGCCACAUUGGGACUGAGACACGGCCCAAACUCCUACGGGAGGCAGCAGUAGGGAAUCUUCGGCAAUGGACGAAAGUCUGACCGAGCAACGCCGCGUGAGUGAAGAAGGUUUUCGGAUCGUAAAACUCUGUUGUUAGAGAAGAACAAGGAUGAGAGUAACUGUUCAUCCCUUGACGGUAUCUAACCAGAAAGCCACGGCUAACUACGUGCCAGCAGCCGCGGUAAUACGUAGGUGGCAAGCGUUGUCCGGAUUUAUUGGGCGUAAAGCGAGCGCAGGCGGUUUCUUAAGUCUGAUGUGAAAGCCCCCGGCUCAACCGGGGAGGGUCAUUGGAAACUGGGAGACUUGAGUGCAGAAGAGGAGAGUGGAAUUCCAUGUGUAGCGGUGAAAUGCGUAGAUAUAUGGAGGAACACCAGUGGCGAAGGCGGCUCUCUGGUCUGUAACUGACGCUGAGGCUCGAAAGCGUGGGGAGCAAACAGGAUUAGAUACCCUGGUAGUCCACGCCGUAAACGAUGAGUGCUAAGUGUUGGAGGGUUUCCGCCCUUCAGUGCUGCAGCUAACGCAUUAAGCACUCCGCCUGGGGAGUACGACCGCAAGGUUGAAACUCAAAGGAAUUGACGGGGGCCCGCACAAGCGGUGGAACAUGUGGUUUAAUUCGAAGCAACGCGAAGAACCUUACCAGGUCUUGACUUCCUUUGACCAU